UUUUUCUUCUUCGUUUCUGUUAUUUUAAGAAAGAGACAUUUUAUUCUGACCUCGAGAGCUCGAUGGUCUGAAAUUCAGUCUUUGGAUGAAGAUUAUCAUCUGUUAAAUAUGAAGAUUCAAUCUUCAGAUAUGAUCACAAGAUAAGUUUCUUCUAUCAUCAACUAUUUGUUCUAUUUUAUGAUUUUGAAAAUUUUAAACUUCUGAUUAAAACUCAAUUUGUCAGUCUAAUCUUGAUCGGAGUAAGGAUCUUUCUUCAUCUAAUCUGGAUCUCUCUUUUGAGAUAAAAAAUUCGAAAAGAAAAAAUAGAAAUUAUUUUCUAGGGUUCUUGACUGAAAUUUAAUUUAUCUCCCUAUUUUUAAUAUGGAUCGAAGAAAUUAUAAAUCCUUUUUGAGUUUAGACAUCUUAAUUACUGUUACCCAUUGAAUCAAUUUCAAUUUUGUUAACUUUUAAUUUUCGAAAAGGAAAUGUAGAAAAUAAAUCUAUGGGUCUCUGCUACUAAAAGCGUAAGCGGAAGAUCACUUACUAAUUUGGACCCCCCAAGUUACAAUCUACCAGAGUUAUUUCUUGUUCAUUUCACCACGCUGGAGAAUUUAGGUUUUCUAAGAGCUCUUAUGGCAACAUUUUUCUAGUGAAUUACAGGAAGAAUUUCUUUUCAUAAGAUGGAAUUUCUGGGAGAUGCUGGAAUUGUGGAGUUGUUGCUGUGACUAAACCAUUUUUCUCUUGUGAGUCUUGUAAAAGCGUUCAACCCGUUCAUACUUCGAUAGAUUAUUUCCAGAUUUUCGGAUCGUAAGUAUGUUGAUUCGUAGGACCUUAAUUAUACAAAACAUGGAGUACAACUAGGAAUUGCUAGCUGAGGUAACUUUUGCGGAGUCUAAUUUAGUUUCCACAAGGAUGGAGGAUAGCAUGACGUGUUUAUUUUAUAUUGUUGAACCAAGAUCUUGGAUAUCAGGGAAGCAGUUCACAAGGCCUCUUUGAUUUUUUUUUUUUGCAUUUGGUACUGGAUGAUCGAGUCUUGGACAUUCAUUGGUGAUUCGAUUAGUCGUAACCAUGUCCAGCUGUUUCUUUGAAUCGAAUGGAAAGUAUACAUUAACUAGAUGCUAUUUUGAGCUCUUUCCAUCUUAUGUAAAUUUAUGCAAUUGAUGUUGUGUAUGUUGGUCGUGAUCGUCAGUGUGUGUAUUUGUGAGGUUAAUGCUUUAGUGCCAUACUUCUAUGAGUAGAUAAUGUUAAUUAACAAUGGUCUAUUUUAUCAUGCUGUUGGUAAUCAAGAAAUGAGCAUCGAGAGAUCUGUGUGGAUGCAUAUUCCUAAUGAGAAAAUACAAUUCCCAAAUGAAACUCGUUUUCUAGAUUCAUUCUACAUUUUUUGUAGUGGCUGCAUAACCUGUUAUUAGUUGAGAAAAUGGUUGCAUAACGCCACAUUAUGAAGCUAUUAAUUUGGUUAGACAUUAAUUUAUGUGAUUUCAGCUUGUCUUAGAGAUUAGGGAAAACCAUGGUAGUUGAUGUUGACAAUUAUUUACUCGACAGGAUGUGAUGUACACGUCAUUUGGAAAAUUAUUGAGUACAUAAACCUAUUUGAUUACUAGUUGAUCAAAAUUCUCUUGAUUUAGUUGUGUUUAGAUAAACUUCAAUAUGUUUGUUUGAUAUGAUAUUUUAUUAGGUAAUGUUUAACUUUAAUCCGUAUGUUUGGUGAUUUUCCUUAUUUUCUGUUCGUUUUUUUUUUUUGUUUCAUAUAUUUUCCCGUGUAUGGCUUCUGUUGUCUUUAGUCAGAUUUGGAAUGUGGUUUUCAAGCUUUAAAGGAUCCAUUUCUAGAUGGUGCAUAACGUUUAACUUUAAUCCGUAUAUGUGUGGUGAUUUUCCUUUAUUUUCUGUUUUUUUUUUGUUUGUUUCUUACAUUUUCCCGUGUAUGAGUAUGAGUAUUAAAGGAUCCAUUUCUAGAUGGUGCGGACCUUAAAGGGUAUGAGUAUUAGAAGUCCUGCUCGUGACUCACAAACGAGUUCAAGAAAGAGCCCCCAAAAAGGAAAGACAAUAGCGAUGUCAGGUGAAUACAUUUUGGGGGUUUGUUAUGCAUAAAAGAUUAUGUAGCAAACUGAGAUGGUGCAUAGCAUGUUAUGCCGCCAUCUUUAAAGGGUGCAUAACAAGUUAUACAGAUUAAAGUAGUUGCAUAACUUGUUAUGCAUUAAACUAAAAGGGUGCAUAAUCUUUUAUGCACCCAUGUUUAAAUGGUGCAUAACUUGUUAUGCAGAUUAAAUUAACUGAAUAACUUGUUAUGCAAUCAUUUUGACUGCAUAACCGUCGUGGUAUUUCUGAAAAUGAGUUGUUACAGUAGUUUAAUUUAUGGAAACUUGGCAGCUUUGUAUGAUAGGAUUGAUCUUUGCGCAAGGAUAGUAGUUUUAUUAGUGUGCCUUGCAGUUUCUUAUUGUCCUAUCUUAUCGUAUCUUGUUAGCUGUUUAUUUAGACCAUGUUGUUCUUUCGUUUGAGUUGUAUCUUUAAAGGGUGCAUAACAAGUUAUACAGAUUAAAGUAGCUGAAAUUUAUGAAAAUUUAUGCAACCUAUUUUGACUGCAUUACCGUAACAAGUUAUGCAACCUAUUUUAAAGUAACAAGUUAUGCAACCUAUUUUGACUGCAUUACCGUCAUAAUAUUUCUGAAAAUGAAUUUUUACAGUAGUUUAAUUUAUGGAAACUUGGCAGCUUUGUAUAUUAUGAUUGAUCUAUAUUGAGAAUUUCGUGGAAAGAAGGAACAGUAGUUUAAAUAUCAUGAAGAUGAAUUUUUACAGUAGUAUAACUUAUGGAAACUUGGCAGCUUUGUGUGAUAGGAUUAAUCUUUGUUCAAUGCUAAUAUUUUUAGUAGCGUGACUUGCAGUUGCUUAUUGUCCUAUUUUUUUCGUAUCUUGUCAGCAGUUUAGACCACGUAGUUCUUCCGUUUGGGUUGUUGAUUUAUGUAUAUGCAUUAUUAUUCUGUGAUGGCUUUUAUACUCUUGCCUAUAGCAAAUGCUUUUGUAAAGUUUCUAUCGUCUUUCAACUGUCUGCAAAAAGAAGGUGAGUAUAAAAUAAGUAAGAGUUCUGAGAUUAAUACUCCUUCUAGGAUGUUGUCUAUAUCUCAGUUUUGCUUGUAAUUAAACCUUGUGAUGGUAGGUUGAAUCUGGUAUCGCAGCUCAUGGCGGAACAUCAACUAAGUACCCUCGAAUGGGUUUGAAGAUAUAAAAUUGAAGAUUCGCUACAAUUUAUGACUUUUUUUGACUCCAUGUAGGCUUCUUUCCUUGUAAGAUGUGCUUUUCUUCUUCUGUAGUGACGAUUGCAUAACACAUUACGCGGAUUGAAGUAUCAGAAUAGCUUGUUAUGCAGCAAACUAAUAGAGUGCAUAACAUGAUAUGCAUGCAUCCUAGUAGUGUGCAUAACAUGUAUACAGAUAAAAGUAGUUGUAUAAUUUUUGCACCAAACUAAAAUGGGGGUACGUAACAGGUUAUGCAGCCAUCUUUGAAAGGUUCAUAACUUGUUAUACAGAUCAAAUUAUAUGCAGCCUCUUUGACUAUAUAACCAUGACAAUCAUCUUGAAAAAAAAUUUCGUAACCCAAGUGAUGCAGCAAUUUUGAUGGAGGUACUGGCGGCGGCGGACGGUGGUGCUGGUAGCGGUGACGUGCUGGCGGAGAUGGUGGUGUUGGUGAUGGUGGCGGUGGCGGCUGCUGUGCUGGUGGAGGCGGCGAUGGUGGUGGUGGUGGAGAUGGUGUGGUGGCGAGGCGGUGCUGGUAGAGGCGGAGGCGAUUGGCGACGAUAGUGUCGGAGGCACAGGUGCAAGUGGUGGUGGUAGUGAUGGUGAAGAAAGAUAUUUUCAAAAAGAAGAGGAUAUGGAACUGAAGGCAGUUUUGUAAUAAAUGUAAAACAUAAAGGGUAACUUGGUAUUUUCACCAUUUUUUAUAAUUUUGAAUGAUUAUGGGUGCGAUAGAAUGUGGACAAUAUUUCGGGCCUGAGAAUAAGAUUUAUUUUUGUAUCGGGCCUUAGCUUAA